GCCGGGCGCGGUGGCUCACGCCUGUAAUCCCAGCACUUUGGGAGGCUGAGGUGGGUGGAUCACCUGAGGUCGGGACUUCCAGAACAGCCUGACCAACAUGGAGAAACCCCGUCUCUA
rfam:Homo sapiens chromosome 20, GRCh38 reference primary assembly.